AACGAACGCUGGCGGCGUGCCUAAGACAUGCAAGUCGGGCGAGAAAAGGGCUUCGGCCCCUAGUACAGCGGCGCACGGGUGAGUAACGCGUGGGUAACCUACCUCGAAGCCUGGGAAUAACCCGGGGGAAACCUGAGCUAAUACCGGAUGAGCCCACGAGGCCCUCGGGUCAUGUGGGAAAAGAUGGCCUCUGCUUGCAAGCUAUCGCUACGAGAUGAGCCCGCGUCCCAUUAGCUAGUUGGUGAGGUAACGGCUCACCAAGGCGACGAUGGGUAGCUGGUCUGAGAGGACGAUCAGCCACACUGGAACUGAGACACGGUCCAGACUCCUACGGGUGGCAG
rnacentral:rRNA from 1 species